GGAUUAAUACCUCAUUAGUAUCGUGAGGAUGCAUCAUUUUCACAUUAAAGUCACAACGGCAAAAGAUGAGCAUGCGUCCCAUUAGCUAGUUGGUAAGGUAACGGCUUACCAAGGCUACGAUGGGUAGGGGUCCUGAGAGGGAGAUCCCCCACACCUGGUACUGAGACACGGACCAGACUCCUACGGGAGGCAGCAGUGAGGAAUAUUGGACAAUGGGCGCAAGCCUGAUCCAGCCAUGCCGCGUGCAGGAUGACGGUCCUAUGGAUUGUAAACUGCUUUUAUACAGGAAGAAACACUCCGACGUGUCGGAGCUUGACGGUACUGUAAGAAUAAGGAUCGGCUAACUCCGUG
rnacentral:rRNA from 1 species